ACUCCAGCCCCAACUUUGAGGUGAUUUAUGACGACCCAAACGGACUUCACUUCCAGAGCAAGCGGGACAAAACGAUGCUGAAUCCUCGAUCCAGGUCCAGCGGGACGCUCCUCCAGUCGGACCUCUACGUCCACGUUGUGCUGCACGACCGCAGUGUGAGAACGUUCUGACCUGCUGACGCCGACGCAGCCGUACAAUCUGGCGCUGGAAGCCUCUAAUUUAGCUGCAGCUGCAUCAUCAUUUACAAACUCUUUCCCUCAUAUCGUGCAUGCCAUCAGGGUGGAGGUGCCGCUGCGACGACUUCAAACAGACGAUUCCCAGAGGAAGAAAUGGACAGACUGGGGUGAAAGCUGGAGAGUUUCCUUAAGCUUAAACUGAAACUUAGAUAUUGUGUUGGGUGCAAAGUCUUAUUUAGGAGCCAGACUCUGCUCCUCAACCCCAGGCUCGUCCACUGUUGGGGCCAACAUGUUUUGGGCUGUUUGUCUAAACAAAUUAAAGAGCUUUGAAAGAUGAUGGGGCAGCUCUCAUGUCCUCCCCCAGGCUGCGGUAGCUCCGAUUGGACUGGAAGAAUGGGUAAUGGGCUUAAAGCAUUCCUCCUGUUCCCAGAUGGAGGGACGCUACGCCGGACAUCAAAGCUCUCCAUCACUCCCAUAUUAGUCAUUGACUGACAGAUUUUAAUGCACCAUAACUCUACAAAUAAUCCCAUUUGGAAAUGUGUUUGAAACUUGAAGAAGUUACGUUUUUGCCAUUCAUACUGAAACAGAUGGAGGGAAUCACACCAGUAAUAUCAUCUCUGGCCAUAAGAUGAUAACAUAUAACAGGGUUUUUAUGGCUUCUUCUUUCAUGUAUUGUUUUCCAAACUGGUCCCUUGCUUUCUAUUUCCGUUUGUUUCUUAAUACUUUAAGGGAAUAAAAGCUUCACAAUCAAACCCAUAAUGAUUUUUUUUUAUAUAUAAAAACCCCAAAACAAAAUCUACCGUAAUGCAUUUCCUUCAGAACUCACAUAAUCAUCAGACUUUGCUCACCUGUGGAUAGUUCAGUGUCUGUGUAUCUGCAGCCGCCCUGUGAAGUCGCUCACUCCACAAAGACAUAACCUAAAAGUCUUGCACCCGUAACUUAAACACAAAAUAUUGGCUCAGGGGCUUUGAAUACCUCACUUCUCAGUUUUUAAUGGUGAAUUUAUGUUCGUGUCAUCUGUAACACAGAGUAGCUCACAAAUAUGAGCUACUCUGUGUUGGUCUGUUGCAAUCUUAAUGAAAUACGUUUGGGGUUGUAAGCUUUCAAAGUGUGAAGGUUUGGGAGACUCUGUCUUUUCUGUAAUGACAUGUGAGGAAAAUAUUUCUUUUGAAGGUGUUUAAUUUUCCUUUGGGCUCAAUAAAGUCUUUUUGAAUUUGUUUUA